rnacentral:rRNA from 1 species
GAUGAACGCUGGCGGCGUGCCUAAUACAUGCAAGUCGAGCGAACGGACGAGAAGCUUGCUUCUCUGAUGUUAGCGGCGGACGGGUGAGUAACACGUGGAUAACCUACCUAUAAGACUGGGAUAACUUCGGGAAACCGUAGCUAAUACCGGAUAAUAUUUUGAACCGCAUGGUUCAAUAGUGAAAGACGGUCUUGCUGUCACUUAUAGAUGGAUCCGCGCUGCAUUAGCUAGUUGGUAAGGUAACGGCUUACCAAGGCAACGAUGCAUAGCCGACCUGAGGGGGUGAUCGGCCACACUGGAACUGAGACACGGUCCAGAGUCCUACGGGAGGCAGCAGUAGGGAAUCUUCCGCAAUGGGCGAAAGCCUGACGGAGCAACGCCGCGUGAGUGAUGAAGGUCUUCGGAUCGUAAAACUCUGUUAUUAGGGAAGAACAGAUGUGUAAGUAGCUGUGCACAUCUUGACGGUACCUAAUGAGAAAGCCACGGCUAACUACGUG